rnacentral:rRNA from 1 species
GAUGAACGCUAGCGGGAGGCCUAACACAUGCAAGCCGAGCGGUAUUGUUUCUUCGGAAAUGAGAGAGCGGCGUACGGGUGCGGAACACGUGUGCAACCUGCCUUUAUCUGGGGGAUAGCCUUUCGAAAGGAAGAUUAAUACUCCAUAACAUAUUGAUUGGCAUCAAUUAAUAUUGAAAGCUCCGGCGGAUAGAGAUGGGCACGCGCAAGAUUAGCUAGUUGGUGAGGUAACGGCUCACCAAGGCGAUGAUCUUUAGGGGGCCUGAGAGGGUGAUCCCCCACACUGGUACUGAGACACGGACCAGACUCCUACGGGAGGCAGCAGUGAGGAAUAUUGGUCAAUGGGUGCAAGCCUGAACCAGCCAUCCCGCGUGAAGGACGACUGCCCUAUGGGUUGUAAACUUCUUUUGUAUAGGGAUAAACCUACCCUCGUGAGGGUAGCUGAAGGUACUAUACGAAUAAGCACCGGCUAACUCCGUGCCAGCCGCCGCAGUAACAC